rnacentral:rRNA from 1 species
CCUACGGUGGCUGCAGUGGGGAAUAUUGGACAAUGGGCGAAAGCCUGAUCCAGCCAUGCCGCGUGUGUGAAGAAGGCCUUCGGGUUGUAAAGCACUUUCAGUGGGGAAGAAAGCCUUGGGGCUAAUACCCUCGAGGAAGGACAUCACCCACAGAAGAAGCACCGGCUAACUCCGUGCCAGCAGCCGCGGUAAUACGGAGGGUGCGAGCGUUAAUCGGAAUUACUGGGCGUAAAGCGCGCGUAGGCGGUCUGAUAAGCCGGUUGUGAAAGCCCCGGGCUCAACCUGGGAACGGCAUCCGGAACUGUCAGGCUAGAGUGCAGGAGAGGAAGGUAGAAUUCCCGGUGUAGCGGUGAAAUGCGUAGAGAUCGGGAGGAAUACCAGUGGCGAAGGCGGCCUUCUGGACUGACACUGACGCUGAGGUGCGAAAGCGUGGGUAGCAAACAGGAUUAGAUACCCGAGUGUC